GGAGAGAUGACAGAGCGGUUGAAUGUGCUAGUCUCGAAAACUAGUGUGGACUCCGGUCCACCGUGGGUUCGAAUCCCACUCUCUCCG
rnacentral:tRNA from 1 species